ACGGGGGGUCCGAGCGUUAAUCGGAAUUACUGGGCGUAAAGGGUCUGUAGGUGGUUUGUUAAGUCAGAUGUGAAAGCCCAGGGCUCAACCUUGGAACUGCAUUUGAUACUGGCAAACUAGAGUAUGGUAGAGGAAUGGGGAAUUUCUGGUGUAGCGGUGAAAUGCGUAGAGAUCAGAAGGAACACCAAUGGCGAAGGCAACAUUCUGGACCAAUACUGACACUGAGGGACGAAAGCGUGGGGAUCAAACAGGAUUAGAUACCCUGGUAGUCCACGCUGUAAACGAUGAGUACUAGCUGUUGGAUUCGGUGUAAAGGAUCUAGUGGCGUAGCUAACGCGUUAAGUACUCCGCCUGGGGACUACGGCCGCAAGGCUAAAACUCAAAGGAAUUGACGGGGACCCGCACAAGCGGUGGAGCAUGUGGUUUAAUUCGAUGCAACGCGAAGAACCUUACCUGGUCUUGACAUCCUGCGAACUUUCUAGAGAUAGAUUGGUGCCUUCGGGAACGCAGUGACAGGUGCUGCACGGCUGUCGUCAGCUCGUGUUGUGAAAUGUUGGGUUAAGUCCCGCAACGAGCGCAACCCCUAUUGAUAGUUACCAUCAUUAAGUUGGGUACUCUAUUGAGACUGCCGCUGACAAGGCGGAGGAAGGUGGGGACGACGUCAAGUCAUCAUGGCCCUUACGACCAGGGCUACACACGUGCUACAAUGGGUAUUACAGAGGACAGCGAAGUAGCGAUAUGGAGCGAAACUCAGAAAGGUACUCUUAGUCCGGAUUGCAGUCUGCAACUCGACUGCAUGAAGUCGGAAUCGCUAGUAAUCGCAGGUCAGAAUACUGCGGUGAAUACGUUCCCGGGUCUUGUUCAAAAGGGGGCGUCACCCCAUGGGAGUGGCCUGCU
rnacentral:rRNA from 1 species